rnacentral:rRNA from 1 species
GUAGGGUCCAAGCGUUAAUCGGAAUUACUGGGCGUAAAGCGUGCGCAGGCGGUUGUGCAAGACCGAUGUGAAAUCCCCGAGCUUAACUUGGGAAUUGCAUUGGUGACUGCACGGCUAGAGUGUGUCAGAGGGGGGUAGAAUUCCACGUGUAGCAGUGAAAUGCGUAGAGAUGUGGAGGAAUACCGAUGGCGAAGGCAGCCCCCUGGGAUAACACUGACGCUCAUGCACGAAAACGUGGGGAGCAAACAGGAUUAGAUACCCUGGUAGUUCACGCCCUAAACGC